UGGGGAAUAUUGGGGCAAUGGGACGAAAGUCUGACCCAGCGACGCCGCGUGAGGGAAGAAGGUCUUCGGAUUGUAAACCUCUGUUGACAGGGAAGAAGUAAGUGACGGUACCUGACUAAGAAGCCCCGGCUAACUACGUGCCAGCAGCCGCGGUAAUACGUAGGGGGCAAGCGUUAUCCGGAUUUACUGGGUGUAAAGGGAGCGCAGGCGGUCCUGCAAGUCUGAUGUGAAAGCCCGGGGCUCAACCCCGGGACUGCAUUGGAAACUGUGGGACUUGAGUGUCGGAGGGGCAAGUGGAAUUCCUAGUGUAGCGGUGAAAUGCGUAGAUAUUAGGAGGAACACCAGUGGCGAAGGCGGCUUGCUGGACGACAACUGACGCUGAGGCUCGAAAGCGUGGGGAGCAAACAGGAUUAGAUACCCUGGUAGU
rnacentral:rRNA from 1 species